GUCACAGCCUGUGGGCGUGCUCGAUCCUGUUGGUUGGACAGGGCUGUUUGAAGGUCCUGAAAAACACAAGGCUUUCUAUAAGCCUAAGUCCAGUGUGACUAUUUAUUGUAUUUCACCGCUUCUCAGGAUGAUGUGGGGUUUUCACAUGAAGAGAACUGUGACCAGGCCACCACACAAGGCAUCACAAUACUAUACAUUCGGCGCUCUUAAAAUUGUUUUAAAAAUAAGAGUAAUGGUGAUAUUAAGAGACAGUUUGGGUUAAAUUGUCAAGUAAAGAAAUUUGAAUUCUUUGCCCCCUCCGAAUCCUAAUAGUAUCCUUCUCUCAUUUUUUGCUUCCCCUUCCUGCAUUUUUGGGUCACUUUGUAUCCAAUUUCGACUUCCCCUCCAAAAUCCACCUUCAGGAAAGGAAUGGCUGUCAGACUUUUACCCCACAGCACUAGUUUAAAUCAAAUAUCAGCAACAUUUUUUCUGUAACUAUUUGCAUUUCAAUGUGUUUUAUCACUGUAGAAUGAAGGGCUAUUCAAUAGAAAUAGUUAAGAGAAUUUAAAACACAUUGGCGAGUAAAGGAAGGAGAUUAUUUGGGGGAGUUGGGGAAUACAGGCCCUUAAAGUGGGUCUAGUCAUUCCUAAAAGUUCUACUGUGAUGAAAAAAUUCUCUGGUACUCUGGCCUCUGUAAUGCUGUCCCACCAGAGAGAGCAGAAUUCUUCCCCUAGUUCCAUUCCACUCCACUCUAUUCCAUUCCUCUUCCUUCAACAUAUUUUUAGAGCCACAGAGCUCUUCUCUAAUUUCCUUUUUUGCAUUUCUUAUAUAUUAUAUAUAUACAUAUAUAUUUAUAUAUUUUCACAUUUUUUAAUUGUUCAAGUACAGUUUUCUGCCUUUUCACCCCACCCCAGCCCACCCCCCAGCCCUUCCCGCCUCCACCCCCUCCUGUUAUAGUCCAUAUGUCCUCUACAAUUGCUCCUGCAAACCCUUCACCCUUUUCCCCUGAAAUUACCUCCCCUCUACCCUUUGGUCACUUGUUUUUAGUGACAACCAUUAGGCGGCAGGAGAGCAAGAAGGAGGAGAGAUGCAGUGGUUUUACCCAGACAGUAGUACUUCUAUCAGUGCAGCCAAAGGCUUCCAUAUCCCUCCCUGAGUUUCAGUUCUGACUUUAAAAAAUAUUUCUCUAUAUCCAUUCAUAUUCCUCUCCUUCCCCCACAAACGACAAUCUUAAUGUGUUCAAUACAUAUCUUUCUGUUAGCAUGUCAAAAUGCCUUUGUCUAUGUGCAUUUUUAAAUUUAUGUAGAUUCAUAUUUUGUGUAAUUUAAGUUAUACUUCAUAUUAUAUAUAAUUUUGUUUCUUUUCCAUGAAGCCAAGGUUUUAAAGACCCAUCUGUGUUGUUGCUGUACGUACAUCUAAUUCAGUGCCUCGCUCUACUGCGUGUGCUCUGUGGCGUGGACCCAGCACAUUCUACCUGAGCAGCCUCCUCCCGAUGGAUGCCCAGGUGCCCUCCAACUUCUCCCAGCACAAACAGGGACUGUAAUGAACAUCCUUGACAUGCCCAGGUCUCACUGUGUACUGCAAUGUGCUUCAGAUGACCUUACCAUAGAUGGCCUGAAUGCCAUUGAUGUCAUCUUGAGGGAGUGAGUAGGUGCUGGGUUCGCUGUAAGCGUAGUUGGGAUACAUCAGGGCACCAGGGUCGGAGGAGUGAGAGAGCCCCAAGGAAUGGCCAAGUUCAUGGGCAGCAACAAGAAACAAGUUGUAAUCUGAAAUGCAAGCAUGUGAGGUGAAUGUCUUUAAGGGUAUCCAAGGGCGGUAGAGAUGGGAUCUCGAGGUGUGCAGCCAAACUGCCUGGAGAAAUAGCCUCUCCCACGCCUGUCAUUUUCUUUUUCCCUUCAGGGACACAAAGAAAUGAAGAUUAGACAGACUCAAGAUAGGAGUUAGAGGCUUAGAUAAGGUGACUAUAAACUUGGCAUCAAAUUUUAGAAUUAACAAAAAACUGCCUUUAUUUUGAUUCCCCUAUUUAAUGAACAAGAACCUGAGGCUUAGAGGGAUGAUGGCAGAGCCAUCAUAGGUCUUGUGACCCUCAGAAACCCUCUCGCCCCCUCUCCAGUCCCUUAGGUCCUCCACCCUAUUGGUAGGGUCUCAGUGAGCAGGUAGAUAAGAAGCCUGCCAAGCAGCAGAGUAGUCUCACAUCCAGAGCUGACUCACUGACCGCCCGAAGCCUAGUCAGCUCUUCCCUGAUUCUGAGCUCUCCAUGCAGCUUCAGGAAUUCUCCACCAGAAAGAGACAAACCCUGCCUCUAAUUGCUUCCUUCCCUCAUCUUUUAACUUCACAAUCCUAAUGCCUUUUACAAUUGGAAAUUUAAAAACUUCCAAAGCUCACACUGUCAAAAAAAAAUCAAAUAAAACCCAAACUCCUUUGCGAAGUCCAAGAUCUCUCCACUUGACUCCAGCAGACAUUUGAAGGCUUGACUUCUGAGGUGAACCCUUCACUCCAGCCAGUCUAUGAACCAUCUCACAAAUACACAGUACAUUUUCUUACAUGCCUACAUUUGAACUCACAGUUGUAGAGUACUUUCUAUAUGCUAGGAAGUAUAGUAUUAUUUGGUCCUCACAACUUGUUUAUGAAGUACUGCUAAAACUAUUCUUACAGUAAGGAACUGAAGCCCACAGAGCUUGAAAGUCUUGUUGUUAGUCUUGCAACUAAUUAGUGGUAGAGUUGGGGUCAAACCCAGGUGUGAUGACAAGAUGACAAGACUUGUGCCCUUGCCACAGUGUUCAACUUCCUAUUGGUAAGUAGCCUUAUAAAAUUCUACCCAUGUUCCAAGACUUGCUUUCUUAAUUAUUAUAUUCUUUCUUUCUUUUUUGCAUUCACGAAUGCAUUACAAAAAAACACCUUUGAGUGACUGGGACUCUGGGGGACUUAUCAGGAUGUACUUAUCAGUACUGAUUUAUCAAUACUAUCUGCAAGGGGAAAUGUAUGCAAAAAUGAUGAAUGCAUAGAAUAACUAGAAUGGUUAGGGAAGGAGAAAGAAAGGCUAUAAAUAUUAUCAGGAGAAACCCUCAUUCUGGCUAAAAGACAGGAAGAGGCUGGGUUGGGGGAUGCAUUUAUAGAAUGGGAAGAGAGAGAUUUUGAAAGGUAGGGUUUAGGGUGUGAGGAAUGGCAUUUUAGGAAGAAGAAGCAACACGAGCAAACAGAGGGAUGUUGAAAAUCACGUGGUGUGAUCUAGGAAUGGUUGAAUGCAGAAUGUGGCUACUAUAUGUGAACUUUGAAGAGAAGCCACGAGAGAUGAGGCUGGAAAAUUGCCAAGAGCCUUCAAUGUCAAGUGAAAGUGUUUGGACAUUAUUUGGUCAAUAUAAUGUAAACACUGGAAGUUCUAAGCUGGAGACGAAGGGAAUUCCCAGAUGGGCUUUUCAAAGACAAACCUUGCUGCAGUGUUGAAAAAAUCACCAGAAGCAGAGAUUGGAGGUUUUGGUCCAGGUUUCUUCUGCAUCAAAAUGAACAUCUCCUCCAAUACCUUGGCCUGGCUGAAAGGCAUGAGCAAGGAUUCCAUCAGGUCCAUCAAAUGGAGAAUUGUCACCAUGCACUGAAGUAAAACAAUUUGUAUUAGGUCUUUUCCAAGUCUCAUGUCAGCAGGAGAAAGCAAAAUUGAGCAUGAGUGCUUCGAGCUCACCUCUUUGGACGAAAGCAAUAUCGAUGUCUGCUUUUCCCCGUGAGAUAGCAAAGGGUUGUCGUGAGGAUGAAAUGAGAUAAUAUUUGUGAAAUAUGUACCAGAAUGCCUUGUCCAGAUUUCCCAUCCUUAUGCUCUCUGGUAUACCUGGGAUUUUUGCUGCAAGACAAGUCACAUGGAAAUCACCAGACAACUGGGUUGCAGAUGGACCAGAAGGGAAAUUCUUAGGUAUGAUAAAAAUAUGCAGUCCAAGGAUGGAAGUUAUCCCAAGGAGAUAACAUGACUUCCCUGAAAUUGACAGAAAAGUUGAUGUUCUUUUCCAAGAUGGAGGUAAAGCCCAUGCUCUUACGUUUCGGGCAUGUGAAAUUCAGCAUUUACCUAGACCGUCUCCAUCUCUUGAUUUUGUGUGUCUGAAGUCACUGGAAAGCCUUGAGACCCCACUCCCCAGAGCAGCAGCAGGAACACAGGCAGACCGGGGGUGCUGGCCUCUGUCUUCCUUCCCAGCUGAAGGAAAUAGACGGCUCCUACUGCUCCAGGGUUUCAACCUGCAGUCUCCCUUUAAUGAGGAUCCUUGCGCCCUCAAAAGCAAAGGCUGUCUGAUUCAUAUUCUCUUCAUUUGCAAAGUGCCAACUCAACAUUCAUCAGAAAUUGUACAUGAAGUGGCUUGAUCUUUUGCCUUUGCAAUGUUAUUAUUAUGAUCAAACAGGAUAUCGGCAAAGAUGACACCCCAUCCCACACAGUUGUAUUCUCUUAGUAAUUCUGCGCUGUCUUAGAAUACCUGUAAUGUAUGGCAUAAAGAGUUCCCUGUGGACUUUUAAAACACUGGACUGUAUUUCUUGAUUCCAAGAGAUAUUCCUUUUUUUAAAAGAUUUUAUUCAUUUAUCUUUAGAGGGGGAGGGAAGGAGAGAGGGAGAGAAAUAUCAAGGUAUGGUUGCCUCUCGUGUGUCUCCCGCUGGGAACUGGCCCGCAACCCAGGCAUGUGCCCUGACUGGGAAUUGAACCUUGACCAUCUGGUUCACAAGCCCACGCUCAAUCCACUGAGCUGCACUGGCCAGGGCUUGAUUCCAAGGGAUAUUCCUUUAUUCCUUGGAGUGCUCCUGGGCUUUGUGUUCACUUUCUUCCCAAGCGAGAAAGCACUGGCUGGCUGUGUAUGGACUCCUCCAGCUCUUCUUCCCUACAGGACAGAGAACCGGCUCUUCAGCCAGUGCUUGCUUUUUACAGGUGCCUAGGGACUCUCACUGGGUUCUCAGGCCUCUGGACAUACUCCGCUCUUGUAGCUGCCAUGGCCUUCCUUGGUCACAGAAGAGCCUCAGUUAGAGAACAUUGUGUGAAGCCACCUGGUCCACGUGGCAAAUGUGAGAUCAUUCUUCGCUGAGUUCAGGUCCUGCCCAAGGUGUCAUGCUACCCCUCAGAGGCACUCCUUUGAGAGGUUGGGUAGAGGCCUAGGCAGAACUGUGUAAGCAAGCCUCAGUAUAAUUGCUUUUUAUUUGUUUUGUUUAGGAAAUAAGCACAGAUUGAAAAAUCACUCAAUGAUUCAACUUUGAAGUGCCUUCAUUUUGACAAGAUAUACAACAGAGAUAGAGACACUUAAAUGAUUUAACUAGCAGCUUCAGCCCAAAAUAUGAUCACAAUCUUGAUUUUCUUCCACUACCUCCUCUGUUUGCUAUAUAACCUUGCUGGGGACCACUCUGUGUGGUUUCUGAGACUGCAGCCCUGCACGGGCAGCCCUGAAAGGGGCUAGUAAAUCUCCCUGGAAAACCAGGUGAAAAUGCAGGUGGCAAGCAUGACUUGACUCUAACACCAAGGGUUCCUUUGGGAAUCAGGCCUGAUAAUCAUAUUGUAUCCUUUGAAGCUUGCUCUGCUUUGUUUUGUAUGGCUCUGGUGAUACAAACUGGAUGUUUAAGUUCAAAGCAUAGGAGUAAACUCCUUAUCUCAUGAAAUACGUCUUAAAGACCCUCUGGAGUCAGCAUGACUAACAGACCCCGACCUAUGACAAAUGUGUGUUCCUUCAAUUGUUAUCUGUAGAUAAUACCUGUUUUUGUAUGACUGUAGCCUUUAGACAUUGAUUGAUGAGCUAUGCAUAUAUGAUGUAUACACCUGCACAUAGCAUUCCCAACAAAAGCCAUUUGGGAGAAGGGCUCAGGACGUUCUCCACUAGAGGGAAUCGCCACCCUCUUUCCUGCCAGAACAGCAAGACUGUGUCCGGGACGACUUAUUUACCAUCUGAGGUAGAUGGGAGAAUUCUGCAGGCUGGAGUUCCUCCCACAUAACCUGUACUUUAUUGUUCAGGCCAUGGGAGUAAUUUAAAUUCACUGAGCACAUUUAUGUUUUUUCACUACCAAAAGCAUAUCUAAAAGCUAUUUCAAAAAGAACUAUUUAGUGGCUUUGCUUCUAUUAUGAAGAAUCAGGGUGAUAGAGUGAGAGCUAAGCAUGCAUAAAAUUCAGUCGAACUCUUAUUUUCCGAGUCUUCUGAAAAUUUGAAUUUAACUUUCAAGGAAUAUUUUUAGUGCCUUCUUAAUAAGAGUUUUGCAGAAAUCAAAAUAGCUAUGAAUAUAUAUGAUGGUUGUAUUUGAAAUCUUCAAGCACACUUUUUUUUCUUGUGGGAAAAAAAAACCCUUUGGCUUUUGCUGAGAUGCAUUAUAAAGCUAAAUGAAAGGAGACAAAAUAAUUUGCCAAGUCACUUUUCAGUAAAGAUAAUGAUUGUGAAGCUUCAACAUGAGAACAAUACAUUGUUUUUAAUUUUAUUUCUUUUUUGCUUUUCAAGUAGAGUUGUCUCCAUUUUCCCUCCUCUACUCCCCUCGACCCACCCAUCCCCACCUCCCAGCCCUGAUCCUGCCCCCUUUGGCUUUGUCCAUGGAUUCUUUAUACAUGUUCCUUCAUGAUCUUUUGCCUAUUUUCCCCAUUAUCCCUUUCCCCAUUCCCUUCUGGUUAUUGUCAGUUUGUUCUUCAUUUCAAUGUUUAUGGUUAUAUUUUGCUUGCUUGUUUGUUUUGUUGAUCAGGUUCAGCUUAUAAGUGAGAUCAUAUGGUAUUUGUUUUUUGCUGCCUGGUUUAUUACACUUAGUAAAAUGCUCUCCAGAUCCAUCCAUGCUGUGAUGGAGGGUAGGAGCUCCUUCUUUCUCUCUGCUUUGUAGUAUUCUAUUGUGUAAAUGUACCACCGUUUUUUUAUCUACUAAUUUACUGGUGGGCACUUAGGUUGCUUCCAGCACUUGGCUAUUGUAAAUUGUGCUGCUAUGAAGGAUGGGGUGCAUAGCUUCUUUUGAAUUUAUGUUUCAGGAUUCUUAGAGUGUAUUCUCAGCAGUGGAAUUGCCAGGUCAAAAGGCAGAUCCAGUUUUAGUUUUCUUAGAAAAUUCCAUGCUGUUUUCUAUAGUUACUGCACCAGUCUGUAUUCCCACCAACAGUGCACUAGGGUCCCCUUUUCUCCACAACCUCUCCAACACUUGUUGUUUGUUGAUUUUUUUUAUGAUGGCCAUACUGGCCGGUGUGAAGUGGCAUCUCAUUGUGGUUUUAAUUUGCAUCUCUCUGAUGGCUAGUAAUAUUUUUGAGAGGAAUUUGACAGCAGCCAGUCUAUUAUGAAUCUGUUCUGUGCUGUUGGAUACAGUAGUCACUGAGCAAUGUGGGUACUGAGCCCUGGAAAUGUGAAUAAGAGGUACUGAGGUGUGUCACGGGUAUAAAAUAUACACCAAACUUCGAAGACUUAGUAUGAAAAAAAGAAUGAAAUAUAUCUUGGUCAUAAUUAUUUAUAUUAAUUGCAUGCUAACAUAACAUUUUGAAUAUGUUAGGUUAAACUAAACAUGUUAAAAUUAAUUACCCAUUUCUUUUUACUUUUUAAAAUGUAGCUACUCGAAGAUUUAAAAUUCUGCACAAGACCUGUCAUAUUUCUGUUGCAUAGGGUUGACCUCAUGAUUCAUGUGAUUAAAAGGUGGGUCAGCUAAUGGUGAUGGUCCAUGCAUUAUGGAUUACUGAGAGCCUGCUAGGGGCAGCGCUGCACAGGGAGCUGUGAGAGAUGAAGGCAACUCCCCACCCCCUCAAGGACAUGACCUCUGCCACCACCACGGCAGAGUCUAUGUGGGAAGGCCACACACACACAUCUCCUAAUUUAGUAGUGGAUAUCUAAAAGCAGAAGUUGGGAAGGUAAGUCUGUAACUUCGUUCUCAACCUCACGGAAGAUUUUCUUUUGUAAUGACUCUAAGUCUCUGACUGUCUUUUUUCCUUUCCUAUUGACUCUGCAAAUCGUGACUGAUCCUAACCCACCUUCAGGGAAAUGAGUGUUUGUUGCCUUCAGGACUUUAUUGGAGGUGGUGGUGGUGGUUGUUAAGGUAUUUUGUGGGUGCUAGAGGAUGCUCUCUGCUGUUCUUUCACAUAAGUACAAGUUCCAUUUUCCUGGAAAUGAGAAAAAGGUCUGCAUAGAGUCCAGGAGUGGUGCAGAUUUUAUUUAGCCUUUUUCCUUGUGGGAUAUUUUUUGUUUGCUUGGCUGAUCCUCCUCUAUACAUUUAGCUUCUUGAGGGCAAGUGUUUUAGGGAUCUAUUGCUGCAGAGCAAACCAGCAAAACAUAGUGUCUCAAAACAACACAAUUACUGAGUUACCGGUCACGAUUCCAUGGCGAUGGGUUCUCAGCUGGAUGGUUCAGCUGGUCUUGUUUGCAGUCUCUCCUGUGGCUGUCAUUUGAUUAAGGCUGGCCUGGGACGUCCAAGAGGAACGCAGACUGAAAGGCUGGGGACUCUCUUGCCCCGCUCUCCCUCUCCCUCUCCUCCCCCUUCUCCCAUAAAGUUUCAGAGCUUUUUCUCCUUUGCAGCCAGAAUUUCCUGUGUUACUAAUUUAAGCAACACUGUUCCCAGUGGUGCUUCAACACAUUUGCUCCACAGACUCAGACUGCAUUUAUUUGUCCAUUUACCUACACAUUUGUGCAUGCAGCAGAUACUUACUUAAUAUCUUCAGUGAUUCAGGCACGUCACAGGGAGAGAGGAGAAAUGGGCCCAUGCAUUUUUCAUGGUACCUUGAGUUAGUGCUAUAAGAAACAUGUACAAAAUGCUACAAUUACACAGGGGACAGGCGUUAAUUCCCCUGGAAGACUCUGCAAGGGGAGAUGGUAGAGUUAGUCUGGCCCUGCAUUUCCUGACCUUCAAUAAUCUUCAUUCCUCCUCCUGGAUUUUUGUCAGAUAUCAUAUCUCUCUUUGUUCUUCUUUGCUUU